AUGGGGGUCCAUAGGGGUCCUGGUGGGGUCUAUGGGGCCAUGGGGAUCCAUAGGGGUCCCGGUGGGGUCUAUGGGGACUUGAGGGUCCAUAGGGGGGGAUAUAGGGGUCCUAGGGGGGCUGGGGGGGGAUAUAGGGGUCCUGGUGGGGUCUAUGGGGCCAUGGGGGUCCAUAGGGGUCAUAGUGGGGUCUAUGGGGCCAUGGGGGUCCAUAGGGGUCCCGGUGGUGUCCAUAGGGGUCUCGGUGGGGUCUAUGGGGGUCCUUAUGGUGUCCAUAGGAUUCCUUAUGGGGUCCAUAGGAUUCCUUAUGGUGUCCAUAGGGGUCCUGGUGUCCAUAGGGGUCCUUAUGGGGUCCAUAGGGGUCUCAGUGGUGUCCAUAGGGUUCCUUAUGGUGUCCAUAGGGUUCCUUAUGGGGUCCAUAGGGGUCCUGGUGUCCAUAGGGUUCCUUAUGGGGUCCAAAGGGGUCCUUAUGGUGUCCAUAGGGUUCCUUAUGAUGUCCAUAGGGUUCCUUAUGGUGUCCAUAGGGGUCUCAAUGGUGUCCAUAGGGGUCCUUAUGGGGUCCAUAGGGGUCCUUAUGGUGUCCAUAGGGUUCCUUAUGGGGUCCAUAGGGGUCUCAGUGGUGUCCAUAGGGGUCCUUAUGGUGUCCAUAGGGUUCCUUACGGGGUCCAUAGGGUUCCUUAUGGGGUCCAUAGGGGUCUCAGUGGUGUCCGUAGGGUUCCUUAUGGGGUCCAUAGGGGUCUCAGUGGUGUCCAUAGGGGUCAUGGUGGUGUCCAUAGGGGUCCUUAUGGUGUCCAUAGGGUUCCUUAUGGGGUCCAUAGGGGUCCCAGUGGUGUCCAUAGGGUUUGUUAUGGGGUCCAUAGGGGUCCUUAUGGUGUCCAUAGGGUUCCUUACGGGGUCCAUAGGGGUCCUUAUGGGGUCCAUAGGGGUCCUUAUGGGGUCCAUAGGGGUCCUGGUGGCAUCUGUGGGUCCUGGAGCUAUAGGGACAUCAUUGAUCAGUGGGUCCCACCACUGUCCCCAAUGCCCCAUUGGACUUAA
rnacentral:lncRNA from 1 species